UUUAGAGACAUAAUCUGUUUAAUAAAUAUGACUGUAAAAGCAAUAAACAAUAACAAUUAUACAUUAAGCUACAUUGUAUUUAACGAAAGGGGAAAAGAAGAUGAAAAAGUACAUCAAAAAAAGUAAUUUUAAAAUUAGAAAUAGUUCCAACACUAUAAGAAAAGUUUUUGAUAGGCUUACUAUAAAAAUAAGUUGGCUAAUGUUGGACUUCAGUGGGGACUAUUGUACAGUUUCUGCCAAUACUUGCCCAUCUUUCGUAAAGCUGUAGUUGCAAAGACAAUAGCAAAGCCAAACUGCUGUGUUUCUCUACCUGUCCUUAGAGAAACUACAGAAAGAGGCAGAGGACCCUGUUCAAUGUUUAGCCUUUAACUACAAUGUGUCUAACGUUCUCACACGUGGUAUCACUUUUUUAAUUUGCCAGCAAGGAAGCUGAUUCGGGCUUAUACCCAAUUUGUGCCAGAGAAAUUCAAACCCACCACCAUCACAAAACCCCUGUCUCAGGGCUCUGGGCAACACCAGCAACACUGCUUUCUCCUGGUUUUGACUCAGUUUGCUGUGCACAAUGUCUACUGACCAAAAUCCACUCUUGUCAGGAAUCAGAGCGUCUCCUACAUGUGCUACACUGAUUAUGAACUGGUCUCUAUUUGCCUUCAUCUAACACAGUUAAGUGUAUAUUGGUUACUGUCGAUCGUUGUUUGCACUUCAAAUAAAAGUCCUGAAGCUAGGUUUACCUGAGUUGGGUUGGAAAUCAACAGCUGUAAAGACCACAGGUUAGUAUGCAGAUAGCCAGUGUCUUGGGAGGACUUGUUUGAGGUAUGCUAAACUUGUUUUCCUGCUGUUCCCUUUCAUACUCUACGUGAACAUAUCCUGCAGCGUAAUUUCUAGUUUCAGUGUAAGAUACAAGCUUAUUGGUAAGAAAUCAAAUCUUGUACAAGAGUAGUCCUGUGGAGCUGGGACUCAACAUGCAUGGCAACAAUCUCAGGCCAAAUCCUCCUUUAUUCUCCCUCCUGUGCCCAGAGUGGCAGGAGUUUGUCCAGAUCUCCAACCAAGAUGGGUUGCUGAGAAGGUCAUAGGAAACUGUGCAUAGACCUGCUCCCUAUCCUAUGGGCAAAGUGUCUUUCAAAAAACUGACAAGCCUUGGGAUGACUCCCAAAGGCAAAAUCUCCUGGGGCUUCCCCAG
rnacentral:lncRNA from 1 species